rnacentral:rRNA from 1 species
GACGAACGCUGGCGGCGUGCUUAACACAUGCAAGUCGAACGGAAAGGCCCUGCUUUUGUGGGGUUCUCGAGUGGCGAACGGGUGAGUAACACGUGAGUAACCUGCCCUUGACUUUGGGAUAACUUCAGGAAACUGGGGCUAAUACCGGAUAGGAGCUCCUGCUGCAUGGUGGGGGUUGGAAAGUUUCGGCGGUUGGGGAUGUACUCGCGGCUUAUCAGCUUGUUGGGGGGGUAGUGGCUUACCAAGGCUUUGACGGGUAGCCGGCCUGAGAGGGUGACCGGCCACAUUGGGACUGAGAUACGGCCCAGACGCCUACGGGAGGCAGCAGUGGGGAAUAUUGCACAAUGGGCGGAAGCCUGAUGCAGCAACGCCGCGUGCGGGAUGACGGCCUUCGGGUUGUAAACCGCUUUCGCCUGUGACGAAGCGUGAGUGACGGUAAUGGGUAAAGAAGCACCGGCUAACUACGUG